UGCGGCUGGAUCACCUCCUUUCUAAGGAAGAUGUUGAGUAUCAUUGAAUUUAUUGAGUGAUCUGAACGUUUUUUGAAGAUUAAAGCUUUUAAUUAAGCUUGAUAUAAAUUUGCUGUUGUGAAGCAGCGUUUUUAAAAGGAUCGCCGUCCAUGUUUCUCUUUCUUUUCGGAUUUUUUGCGAUGAUGGGGGGUCGUUAAUAUUUGGUUUUGAGGGCCCGUAGCUCAGGUGGUUAGAGUGCACCCCUGAUAAGGGUGAGGUCGGUAGUUCAAAUCUACCUGGGCCCACCACUUUUUGUUCAGGGGGCCGUAGCUCAGUCGGUAGAGCGCCUGCUUUGCAAGCAGGAUGCCAGCGGUUCGAUUCCGCUCGGCUCCACCAUUGGCGUAAUUAUGGAAUUUUGUUCUGAUUUUUUGGAGCAAGAGUUUUUUGAAAAUUGAAUAGAAGAUAUAUUUUUUUGUAUUUUUUAUGUUGGCAUUGUAUGCGACAUAUAAGAUACCGGCGUUGUUAACCGCACGUUGAGAAUUUAUCUCAGGAAAUUGGUCUAUUGAAGAAGCAUAAGGAUAUUAUGUUUUUUUAAUUAUAAAGAGUU
rnacentral:tRNA from 1 species